AGCAGUCAAGAAUAUUAGUCAAUGGCUCGGAAGAGUGAACUAGCUAACUGAAAUCAAUAAUGUGUCAUUGUUGAUAACGUAAGGGAAAAUAAUGAUGGUACCUUACUAAUAGUGUCGUCCAAAUACUCGUGCCAGAAGACUCGGUAAGGCGAGAGACGCAAACGUUAUUCGUCUUAAUCAGGCGUAAAGGGUUUGUAGGCUGCUUUAAAAAUUAAAAUAAGAAUUAAAAUACUUAUAAAAAAUAAAAUUAAAGCUAGAAUCAAAAAGAGGUUAUAUUAAAUAAUGCUUAAUGUAAGGUUGAUAACUUAAAAUAUUAAGUAGAAUAUUAACGGCGAAGGCUUUUUUCCAUUAAUGAUUGACGCUGAGAAACUAAGGUGAGGAAAGAAAAAAGGAUUAGAGACCCUUGUAUCCCUCACUGUCAACGAUGAAUGGUAGUUACUAAAAAUAAAAUUUAGAGACGAUGUUAACACGAAAACCAUUCCGCCUUGUGAGUACGACUGCAAAGUUGAAAACAAAAAAAUUAGUCGGUCUCGGAGCAAACGAAGUGGAGCAUGUUAUUUAAUUCGAUAAUCCGC
rnacentral:rRNA from 1 species